rnacentral:rRNA from 1 species
GAUGAACGCUGGCGGCGUGCCUAAUACAUGCCAGUCGAGCGAAAAGACGAUGAGCUUGCUCCUCUGACGUUAGCGGCGGACGGGAGAGUAACACGUGGAUAACCUCCCUAUAAGACUGGGAUCACUUCGGGAAACCGGCGCUAAUACCGGAUAAUAUCUUGAACCGCAGGGUUCAAUAGUGAAAGACGGCUUUGCUGGCACUAAUAGAUGGAUCCGAGCGGCAUUGGGUAGUUGGUACGGUAACGGGUUACGAAGGCAACGAUGCGUAUGCGAACGGACGGGGUGAUCGCCGACACUGGAACUGAAACACGGACCAUGGGCCUACGGGAGGCAGCAGUCGGGUAUGGGCCGCAGUGGGGGAAAGCCUUACGGAGCGGGGCCGCGCGAGUGACGAAGGUCUUCGGAGCGUAAAACUCGGUUAUGAGGGGAGAACAGAUGUGGAAGUAGCUAUGGACGGCUUGACGGUACCGAAUCAGAAAGCCACGGCUAACUACGUG